rnacentral:rRNA from 1 species
AUGAGAGUUGCGGUGGUGGGAGCCGGAGUGAGCGGGCUGGCAGCGGCGCAGGAGCUCGCGGCGAGCGGUGGCGCUCGCGUGACAGUGUAUGAGAAGGAAGACUGGCUUGGCGGGUGUGCCAGGAGGACCGUGGCCGUCGAGGACGGCGCCGGCCUUGUCCACCUGGACCUUUGCCCCAUGGUCUUCAAGCAGGCAACAUGCCCCAACAUGAUGCAAUUGUUAGAGUUUCUCGGGUUGGAGAUUGAAAGAACGGAGAUACCCUUCUCGGUGAGCACAAAAUUGGAUAAUGGAAGCCAAUGCUACUGGAGCACUAGCAAUGGUAUCUCAAGCCUUUUGGCACAAAAGAGCAAUGCUUUACAGCCCAGCUUUUGGUGCAUGAUCCGUGAGAUACUUAAGUUCAAGACUGACGUGCUCGGGUACCUGGAUUAUUAUGAAAGUAACCCUGAUCUUGAUCAAAAUGAAACUUUGGGGCGAUUUGUUCAGUCGCAUGAAUAUUCACACCUCUUCCAAGAAGCUUAUCUUAUUCCUAUAUGCACAUCUGUUUGGUGCUGUCCAUCACAAGGAGUUCUGGGGUUCUCUGCUGUCUCUGUGCUGUCAUUUUUUCGAAACCAUGACCUUUUUCAGUUGUUUGGGCACCCUGAGUCCUUCAUUGUCAGGGGUUGUUUGCAGUCAUUUGUAGACAAGGCAAGAGCGGAACUGGAACGCAUGGCUUGUCGAAUUAAGACCAGCUGUACAGUCAAAUCUGUUUCAUGUGAUGACGGAGGUGGUUAUAGAGUCCAAGAGGAAGAUGGUUCAGAAGAAAUUUAUGACAAGGUCAUACUUGGGAUUCAUGCACCAGCUGCUCUGAAAGUACUAGGUGCUGAAGCUACACAUGAGGAAUUGAGAAUUCUUGGUGCUUUUCAGUAUGUCUGCAGUGAUGCAUACCUCCACUGCGAUAAAAGUUUGAUGCCACAAAAUUUAUCUGGAUGGAGCGCCUGGAACUUUCUGGGGGAAACAAGCAGGGAUAUGUUUGUUACCUACUAG